ACCAGGAUGCAGUCACAGCAAG
rnacentral:misc_RNA from 1 species